AUGACAAGGAGUCAGGGACACAAUCAGAUUUAUACCAUCCGUUGUGAUGAUACAAGGAAAGUAAACAUAUACGCAUAUUGUGUUCAACGUGAUGAUACAAGUGAAAGCUGGCCUACGCUGCCAACUGAUCUGCGGCAGCGUGGAAGGAGUGUUCAAAAGCAGCAGGAACAGUUGUUCCACUGCUGGUCGGAGGGAGAGCUUGGCAAGGGAGAUAGAGGGAGCUCUACAACCACGAUCUUGGCAUACAACCCGAUGGCAUCAUGCCCACUUAAGCUUCUUCCAUGUUCCAAUUCUUGCAUUUGUUGGUCUUUUACUGUCAGAGCUUACGAAAUCCAUUACAAAUGGAGGUGA
rnacentral:rRNA from 1 species